rnacentral:lncRNA from 1 species
CGAAACAGGCCUAACUAAGCUUUGCAGAAGUAACCAAAUUGCCUAAAUGCAAUCAAUUACAAAUCUUAAUUACUUGUAGGUCAUGUAUGUAAUACAAGUGCAAACUCACCGUGAUAUUUAUUUUUUAAAUUUUUUGAAUGUUAACAAUGAUAUUAAAAAAAAACUCACCACAAUCCUUUUUUUUUAAAAUGUUAGCUAGAAUAACGUGAUAUAGGUUGGCAUGUUCAUGGAAUCAAGGACAAAGAAGAUAUGUACAAUGAUGGGUGAAUGAUAUGGUAAGACUUAGGAUGGUAGGUUGAUUAGUAGAUUGUGCGGUUGCUCAUCCCGAAGAGAUAAGCUGGCCUAGCACCAAGGACUGUUGAACCAGAACCAGAUCCCAUGUCGGUUGGUCGCCGGUAUGGUUCGGUAUGAGUCCGUAUCGAUUUGUGCUAGACCGAACCGACAGGGCAAAGAAGGGGAGAGGGAGAAAAGAGAAAGAGAGAGAGGGGGGAUAGAAGGAAAGGGAGAGGAAGAGAGGACCUCUGGUAGCCGUCGGAGUCCAUCCAAGCUCUUGCUGAGCUUGAUAAGGAUGGAGAGGGAGAAGAAGAGAGACGGAGAGAUGUUUAUCGGGUUAUCGGAGACACUUAGAGGCCUCUAGACAAAACGGCGAUGCCAUCGCGAUCUCUCCGACGGUCGGUGAGCCAGCUGUUAGAUGUGUGUCCUAGAAACCAGAUUAGCUGACACAUGAACACUUUCUGGGGUACAAUUUUGUAAUUGAAUUUUGAAAUUAAUAAAAUUUGGAUUACUUUUCCAUUCAUGAUUAUGUGUACUUUUAUUGUGUCUAUGAAUCAUCUGAGGAAU